UAGUCUGGAGAAGCGUCCUCA
rnacentral:siRNA from 1 species